rnacentral:rRNA from 1 species
CGGGGGGGCAAGCGUUGUUCGGAAUUACUGGGCGUAAAGGGCUCGUAGGCGGCCAACUAAGUCAGACGUGAAAUCCCCAGGCUCAACCUGGGAACUGCGUCUGAUACUGGAUGGCUUGAAUCCGGGAGAGGGAUGCAGAAUUCCAGGUGUAGCGGUGAAAUGCGUAGAUAUCUGGAGGAAUACCGGUGGCGAAGGCGGCAUCCUGGACCGGCAUUGACGCUGAUGAGCGAAAGCCAGGGGAGCAAACGGGAUUAGAUACCCCGGUAGUCCUGGCCCUAAACGAUGAAUGCUUGGUGUGACGGGUAUCGAUCCCUGUCGUGCCGAAGCUAACGCAUUAAGCAUUCCGCCUGGGGAGUACGGUCGCAAGGCUG